rnacentral:rRNA from 1 species
AUUGAACGCUGGCGGAAUGCUUUACACAUGCAAGUCGAACGGUAGAGGGGGCAACCCCUCGAGAGUGGCGAACGGGUGAGUAAUAUAUCGGAACGUGCCCAGUCGUGGGGGAUAACGUAGCGAAAGUUACGCUAAUACCGCAUACGAUCUAAGGAUGAAAGCGGGGGAUCGCAAGACCUCGCGCGAGUGGAGCGGCCGAUAUCAGAUUAGGUAGUUGGUGGGGUAAAGGCUCACCAAGCCAACGAUCUGUAGCUGGUCUGAGAGGACGACCAGCCACACUGGAACUGAGACACUGUCCAGACUCCUACGGGAGGCAGCAGUGGGGAAUUUUGGACAAUGGACGCAAGUCUGAUCCAGCCAUUCCGCGUGCAGGAUGAAGGCCCUCGGGCUGUAAACUGCUUUUGUACGGAACGAAAAGGUCUCUCUUAAUACGGGGGGCUCAUGACGGUACCGUAAGAAUAAGCACCGGCUAACUACGUGCCAGCCGCCGCAGUAA